rnacentral:tRNA from 1 species
UCCCCGAUAGCUCAACCGGUAGAGCGCCGGACUGUUAAUCCGUAGGUUCUUGGUUCGAAUCCAAGUCGGGGAGCCU